CUUGGUCAUUUAGAGGAAGUAAAAGUCGUAACAAGGUUUCCGUAGGUGAACCUGCGGAAGGAUCAUUAAAAAAUAUAGAAUUAAUCUUCUGUAAACCCAAUCUGCGUAUUUCUACCUGUUGCUUUCGUGAGACUGUGAACGCAAGUUCCCUCUGGCGCUGUUUUUAGGAACAGCUGUUGGGGAGUGCUCACGGGAGGUAAUUAUAAACUCUGUUUUUUUUGAAUUUUGUCUGAAUAUUGUUUAUACAUAAACUUUAAAACUUUCAACAACGGAUCUCUUGGUUCUCGCAUCGAUGAAGAACGCAGCGAAAUGCGAUAAGUAGUGUGAAUUGCAGAAUUCAGUGAAUCAUCGAAUCUUUGAACGCACAUUGCGCCUCCUGGUAUUCCGGGAGGCAUGCCUGUUCGAGCGUCAUUAAAAUCACUCAAGCUUAGGUUUACCUAUUGCUUGGUCUUGGAGAUGGAAGCCAAUUUAUUGGAAUCCUCUUCGAAAUUCAAUGGCGAAGACCCUUGCUCUCCCAAGUGUAGUAAUAACUUAUGUCACUGAAGGAAGCGAGAAAUCUUCUGCCGUAACCCCCAUAUUUUCUAUGAUUGACCUCGGAUCAGGUAGGGAUACCCGCUGAACUUAAGCAUAUCAAUAAGCGGAGGA
rnacentral:rRNA from 1 species